GACGUAGGGCGCGAGCGUUGUCCGGAUUUAUUGGGCGUAAAGAGCUCGUAGGCGGCUUGUUGCGCCGACCGUGAAAACCCGGGGCUCAACUUCGGGCUUGCGGUCGAUACGGGCGGGCUAGAGUUCGGUAGGGGAGACUGGAAUUCCUGGUGUAGCGGUGAAAUGCGCAGAUAUCAGGAGGAACACCGGUGGCGAAGGCGGGUCUCUGGGCCGAUACUGACGCUGAGGAGCGAAAGCAUGGGGAGCGAACAGG
rnacentral:rRNA from 1 species